AGAAGGUGAACGUGUUGGAGCACCUGUCCCAGCUGGCUGUCAACACCACUAAUGUAUCCUUAUCUGUGGGGACCCAGAAUUGUCUGACUCUUCACAUUGGCCUGUACGCCACACUGGCAAUGCCCACACACCAGGCAUUUGGACCAAGGUUUGUAGAUGAGUUCAGUGUGCUGAUGGAGCUGCGUAGUGUUCAGCAGGAGGAGAGUAGCCUGGUCACCGUGCUCAGUCCCUACAGCCACAUCCAGCUGCAGCUCCGUCUCAGCCCACACACGGUCACCUUCGUCUCCACUCACCACAGACAUUACGAGUACGUUGUUAGUUUCACCUCCUAGUUUAGAUUAAUUCUGUCUUUCUGACUUUUUGUACAGUAUAGUAAAUGAAGCUGAGGUGCUUUGCUCCACUUGCAGCUAAAAACAAUAAGUUAAGCAAUACAAGUGAAGUAAAUUUACCUCCCAUUCCGUCCUGUCCCUCUAGGUUCCCAGUAGAUAUGCUGCCUGACGGCCAGUGGCACCAGGUCUCUGUAGGUGUGUCCUCCAGCUGGCUGGCCCUCUAUGUGGACUGUGAGCUGGUGGAGAGGGUGAACUGGACCUACCCUGGACAGGACAUUACCACUGAUGGUCUGCUGAUGCUGGGGGGCAUCAUAGAGGGCUUUGAGACUCCAUUUGAGGGUGCUCUGAGACAGAUGACCUUUGUGAUGGGUGACCCCGACGCAGCCAGACACCAAUGUAACCUCCACCUCCCUAUGUGUGAUGGAAUAGCCCCCAAAGCUCCACGCUCCCCAAGAACACCCCACACACACCAGGAUGCCGAGUUGUCCUCUGGUGACCUGCUAGAUGACUUGACAUACAGUACAGGGAGUUCCAGAGAGAGUUCCACAGAUAAAGGGGAUGCUGUCAUGGUGAGUACCUUUGAUAGGGAGAUAAUUCCAUUGUCAUGUACAGUAGUUGAUGUAAAGCCAUGUGAGUCAGCCCAAUUUAGACAAAAGCCACGGAUUUGCCUGGUUUUAAAGUCUUUAAUCUCUUUUGAAUUAUAGUGCAUUAGGGGAUAAUGGGUCCCUUACAUGUGCUUUGUACAGUGUUCCAGUAGUAACAGUUGUAGUAAUCUAUGCUUACGACACUAUUAAAGGCAAAUAAGUGACAGAUGUAGUGGUUGGUUAGAGAUAUUGCCUGAACAAUCUGGGAAGUGUAUCAUUGAUGGAGGUGAGGUGAGGAAAUUCCACUGAUUUCUCAUUUGUCCCCAUAAACCCCUAGUUUUAUUUUCCUAAUGGGGAAGGCUGUGAUUCACUAGAGUACUGGGAACAAGCCUGGUUCAGCGCCGGCCACUUCAGAGCAGUGUGUGUGUGCUGAAAGCGGCGCUGGCUUUGACAAAUGCCCCAUCAGGGAGGGAUAAGGGGCUGCCCUGGCCCUGGGUCUCACACACUAGACUGCAGCUCACAAAUACAUCCAGAGUACUUUUACCAGCUGUCCUCAAACGUCAUUCAUUACCCACCGCACAGGCUCUUUACUAUAGGCUUAAAAAGACCAAGUGCAUACUUCAGCAUUAGUAUACACUUCAGUGUAUACUUGUUAUUUAAACAUUGGACAAGACGUUUUCCUCAUUAUUGUUAUGUUCAAGUUGACAUUUCUUUGCUUUAUUGAAAUCUGGUUGUCCGUGGCAGUUCUAGACUUGAUGACGCUCUGUUUAAAUGGUCUUUGUUAAUCUGUUUUACGUACACAGGAUGUUUGAGAAGUGCAUUAAGGGUUUUCACUUUUUUAUUGAACUGAACUGAAAGUCCUCAAAUGCCCAAAGUAACAUACCUUUAGUAUAACAAUGAUAGUUUCACCAGUCCAUACCUGUCUUAGAUCAUCAGUCAACCACUAAAUGGGGGGGAAGUACUGAGUUGUAUCUUCAUCUCAAAGUGUUAAGACUUGCAGUCGGCCUUGUGGGCUCCACUUCACUUGUUGAGAGGUCAAAUGAUUCAAAAAAUGUAUUGUCUGACCCCCAUAAUACACCCACAGGAUGUGUACUCACUUUCUCCUUUUAAGAUGAGCGAUAUGGGCCACAGAAGGUGCCAAAGAGCCUCUGGAUCAUAAUUCACAAGUACUGAAACUCAGGAUCAGAUAAGGUCUAUUUCCAUUAUCCAUUACCUUACAACCUCUGUGCUGAAAGUGAAAGUGUGAGGACUGUUGACCUGAUGUCCAUACUGUCAUUAAUGCAUAGGUUAACCUGUUAAUGAACCACCAUUAGAGGAUUACUUUACAAAGGGCAAUAGAAUAAAAGGUGAGUUUGCAAGGGCCAUUUAGCACAAGUCAAGGCAAAAUCUAGAUCAGACAUCACCCCAAGAGCAAUACCAUUUACAACUUGCCAACUAUUUCACGCAAACCUCAACCUCAUGACUCACAACCUUAUGGGGGUGUUUUAUUACAUUGUAUCCCAAGUAGCAGGUUCGAAAUAACAUUUAUUGACUGUUCUGCCAUCUAUCAGCAUAUGAGAUUGGGACAUUCAUCCACAGGUUUGUCGCUGUACUGCAUGCAUCCACCUAUGGUAGCUUAUACUGUAAGUCACAUCAUUGAAAUGGCAAAAGGGAGGAACAAGAAAGAAGCAGUCAUGACUCAUGGUUGCCAAGCUACUGUACCUCACUAGUGAGCAGAGUAAUUAUGGCCCAGGCUUGUGGGAGUUCUGUUCUGAGCUGGUACUGUAUCACACAGCUCUGUGUUCUCAUCUCUCGUCCACAUUGGCAGUUCUAGUCUAUCAUCUGCGACUUUGACCUCAGACCACUGAAACUUGUAAUCAUAUUCACUGGGCUAUAAUUUAGUUAGCCAAAUAAAAAAAUAUAUGAGAAGAGAGGGAGGCGCUGAAAAAAGGGUUGCUUUAUUACUAGCCUAUUGUCUCCCAUCUCUAUUCACACCCUUGCUAAAAUGUACAUGAGAAAAAUGUGUUCUCUCACCUUAUGUUUUAAUGGAAACCACAUGCCAUAUACUGCGGCCUGGCCUCGAUGUGGUAAGUGUAGACAGCAGCUUAUUCCAUAGACAGAGGCUCUGGGAGCAGUUAGCAAGCCUGUGUAGAUUGGUGAUGGUACUGAUGCAAGUUCAUUUGCUAAGGGAUUUUCCUCUUAUGUCUCCAGUCUAGUGAAAAUGGGGGAAACCUCAAGAGAUUUUUCCCACUCUUAAGUAAAGCGUAUUAUGUAGUGGUUUCCCUUGGUUUAUGCUAUUGCCAUGGUUUCUCAUUAAUACCCAUAAUCCCUCCUUGUGGUCACUGCUGCUUUGAUUCUGAAUGCUGUAGGUCUCCAGCUUAAUCGUUUUCUUCAAUCAAAUUAGCAUCUGUCAGAUCAUUAGCUGAUCAUAGCUGUGGUUUUUUAUAUAUUCCAUCUGCCUCUGUGGCUUCUGUGCCAUUUCAACAGCUCUGAAGUAUCUUUACCAGCUACAGUAUGUGUGUGCUCCUUCCUAUUUUAUCUCAUUCACAGCUUGGUAUGUUUAAUCAUACAACAUUAGUGCAUACAUUCAUAUCACUAAGUACAGGAAAUCUAGUGGUGGAAGUCCUAAGAUCCACCUGGACCUCAGCAGCCGAGAUAGAGUGAUGAGGUGAUGGGUAUCCAUCCUCUUGUCCUCUGGCUUAGCCUGGCACACCCUAUCCCACCACACCCCAC
rnacentral:lncRNA from 1 species